rnacentral:rRNA from 1 species
AUGAACGCUGGCGGCGUGCCUAAUACCUGCAAGUCGAGCGAACAGAUAAGGAGCUUGCUCCUUUGACGUUAGCGGCGGACGGGUGAGUAACACGUGGGUAACCUACCUAUAAGACUGGGAUAACUUCGGGAAACCGGAGCUAAUACCGGAUAACAUUUGGAACCGCAUGGUUCUAAAGUGAAAGAUGGUUUUGCUAUCACUUAUAGAUGGACCCGCGCCGUAUUAGCUAGUUGGUAAGGUAACGGCUUACCAAGGCGACGAUACGUAGCCGACCUGAGAGGGUGAUCGGCCACACUGGAACUGAGACACGGUCCAGACUCCUACGGGAGGCAGCAGUAGGGAAUCUUCCGCAAUAGGCGAAAGCCUGACGGAGCAACGCCGCGUGAGUGAUGAAGGGUUUCGGCUCGUAAAACUCUGUUAUUAGGGAAGAACAAAUGUGUAAGUAACUGUGCACGUCUUGACGGUACCUAAUCAGAAAGCCACGGCUAACUACGUG